rnacentral:tmRNA from 1 species
GGGAGUGAUCGGCCUCGAGGACUUGUACGCGGCCGCGCGCUCAGGCAGAGCAUGCAAGGUUUGCUCUUAAAUCUUUCUUUGCAACUGAUAAGUGCAAACUUAUUCAAUGCGUUCAAGCCUGCGCCAGCAAUGGCAUUUGCUUAAUGCUAAAUUCCUCCCGAUUUAUCGGGAGGACAUCCGAACUUUCGAUUCUCGCUGGAAUGUAAGGGUGUAAUAUUAGCGAGGCAAUGUUUUGUAAGCCCGACAAAACAUUCGAAUAUGGGCAAAAGCCCCCGUCCACGCCAGUAGGCGGGACGAGGCAACUAAGCCUGUCAACCGCCGGCCUCAAACAUAUCCGACCCGGGUUCGAUUCCCGGCACUUCCACUA